UCGAGUACUCUGUGUUUUCAUUCAUUAUAAUGUGUUUGUUUUUAUUUGUCAGCCACUGACUCUGAACUGCUCUGAACCAGCGCUGAACUCGCUGAACAAAAAUGCACUAUGAGACGGAAGAAGUCAACGGCGAGGUUACUCAUUGACAGUAGAUGUUAGAUGCCGCAAAAGCAGGAGAACCGACAGAUCCUGCGCUCGUCCACAAUGCACUUCAUCUCGCGCUUUAAUCAAAAAAGGAGACUGCAGUCGAUGCGGGAAUUAGACUGCUUAUUAUAUACAUUAUAAUAUUAUACUAUCUAUAUUAUGUUUGCCGUGUAAUGAGCCAAACAACUAUCCAGAUGCUCACAAUCAGCCUCAGCUACCAUGGCAGGAGGUGAGGGCUAAUGACAUUUUGAAGAGCGUACCACGCGCUUGGCAUCUUGAUGCCAACAAACUUAGGCCAGGUGCAGCCUAGAAACCCUAGUCAAUCUCCUGGCAACGAUAAUCUGGAUAUUCACUUCCAUAGACUUCCUGAGACUGCACGUCCCUCAUUCUGCGUGAGGAAUUACGUAGAGGCCUGAUAAAUCGGUUAGACAACGCGUCCCGGCCACCCUCUUAGCCCCCGCUGCAGCAACAACUACCAGAGUCUCCACCAGCUGAUGGUGAAGCUAAAGAUGCAAGCUUGAAUCUGAUCAGCCUCUUUCCGCUGAACGUGUAGAACAUGAUGGCGGCAAUUUUUCCUUGCCCAUAUUGAUUCCCACGUCACCGGCCUACCAGACAACAAAAAUGAUGACUGCUAACAGAUGGCCACUGUUCACCAAUGUCUUCUGAGAAGACCAAAGACCCACUGGUCGCCAACUUUGCUAACUGACCUAAUGCGCUUACCUCACUCCAGUUCUUUUUUAUGACUAGGUAUUACAAAAUAUGCAAAAUAUCAUAAGACUAUUUUUUACA